rnacentral:rRNA from 1 species
GUGAGUCAUCGAAUCUUUGAACGCACCUUGCGCCCCUUGGUAUUCCGAGGGGCACACCCGUUUGAGUGUCGUGAAAACCUCAACCUCUUUGGUUUCUUCUGGGGACCAAAGCAGGCUUGGACUUUGGAGGCCUUUUGCUGGCACCUCUCUCUUUUGAAGGCCAGCUCCUCUUAAAUGAAUUAGCAGGGUCCUCUUUGCCGAUCCUCGACGUGUGAUAAGAUGUUUUUCCAUGUCUUGGUUUCUGGCUCUGUCACCUUUGGGACCCGCUUCUAACCGUCUUGACCUUGCGUCGAGACAAUGUUCGAGCAUGUCUCCCCAUUCUCGGGAAGCUCCCUCGACCCCACGAACCCCUUGACCUCAAAUCGGGUGAGACUACCCGCUGAACUUAAGCAUAUCAAUAAGCGGAGGAA